GCACUGCUGAGGGGUGCCAUAUUAGGACGAAACGGCCGUCCAGUGC
rnacentral:hammerhead_ribozyme from 1 species